rnacentral:rRNA from 1 species
AGCGGCGGACGGGUGAGUAACGCGUGGGUAACCUGCCCUGUACACACGGAUAACAUACCGAAAGGUAUGCUAAUACGAGAUAAUAUGCUUUUAUCGCAUGGUAGAAGUAUCAAAGCUUUUGCGGUACAGGAUGGACCCGCGUCUGAUUAGCUAGUUGGUAAGGUAACGGCUUACCAAGGCGACGAUCAGUAGCCGACCUGAGAGGGUGAUCGGCCACAUUGGAACUGAGACACGGUCCUAACUCCUACGGGAGGCAGCAGUGGGGAAUAUUGCACAAUGGGCGAAAGCCUGAUGCAGCAACGCCGCGUGAGCGAUGAAGGCCUUCGGGUCGUAAAGCUCUGUCCUCAAGGAAGAUAAUGACGGUACUUGAGGAGGAAGCCCCGGCUAACUACGUGCCAGCAGCCGCGGUAAUACGUAGGGGGCUAGCGUUAUCCGGAAUUACUGGGCGUAAAGGGUGCGUAGGUGGUUUCUUAAGUCAGAGGUGAAAGGCUACGGCUCAACCGUAGUAAGCCUUUGAAACUGGGAAACUUGAGUGCAGGAGAGGAGAGUGGAAUUCCUAGUGUAGCGGUGAAAUGCGUAGAUAUUAGGAGGAACACCAGUUGCGAAGGCGGCUCUCUGGACUGUAACUGACACUGAGGCACGAAAGCGUGGGGAGCAAACAGGAUUAGAUACCCUGGUAGUCCACGCCGUAAACGAUGAGUACUAUCUGU